CCUACGGGGGGCAGCAGUGAGGAAUAUUGGUCAAUGGGCGAGAGCCUGAACCAGCCAAGUCGCGUGAGGGAAGACGGUCCUAUGGAUUGUAAACCUCUUUUGCCGGGGAGCAAAAAGCGGUACGUGUACCGCAUCGAGAGUACCCGGAGAAAAAGCAUCGGCUAACUCCGUGCCAGCAGCCGCGGUAAUACGGAGGAUGCGAGCGUUAUCCGGAUUCAUUGGGCUUAAAGGGAGCGUAGGCGGACGUGCAAGUCAGCUGUAAAAUCGCGCGGCUCAACCGCGCCCCGCAGUUGAAACUGGACACCUUGAGUUCACAACAGGCAGGCGGAAUGCGUGGUGUAGCGGUGAAAUGCAUAGAUAUCACGCAGAACUCCGAUUGCGAAGGCAGCAUACCGGCGCCCAACUGACGCUGAAGCACGAAAGCGUGGGUAUCGAACAGGAUUAGAUACCCUGGUAGUC
rnacentral:rRNA from 1 species